UGGGAAUAUUGGACAAUGGGCGAAAGCCUGAUCCAGCCAUGCCGCGUGUGUGAAGAAGGUCUUCGGAUUGUAAAAGCACUUUAAAGUUGGGAGGAAGGGCAGUAAGCUAAUACCUUGCUGUUUUGACGUUACCGACAGAAUAAGCACCGGCUAACUUCNUGCCAGCAGCCGCGGUAAUACGAAGGGUGCAAGCGUUAAUCGGAAUUACUGGGCGUAAAGCGCGCGUAGGUGUUCGUUAAGUUGGAUGUGAAAGCCCCGGGCUCAACCUGGGAACUGCAUCCAAAACUGGCGAGCUAGAGUAUGGUAGAGGGUGGUGGAAUUUCCUGUGUAGCGGUGAAACGCGUAGAUAUAGG
rnacentral:rRNA from 1 species